UUCUUAAUUUGCAGUGCGUUGAUCUCUCUCGGCCACCGUACACAGAUGAGCAGCAGGUCAGAGUCUGCUCCACGCCACAGUAAGAGAUGCAUUUGUGUAUGUUGUGAGUUCAGGACGGACAGUUCCAGGUGUUAAUGGGGACAGCAUGUGGAGGAACUUACUGCUCCUUCAGGAGGACAUGACAGCUCCUCGUCAACAACACUGCACCACCUGCACUCCCUGGUCAGCAUGUCAGGUCAUUUUCAACAGCACAACCAGUGUAACAUUGUAACUGCGUGUUGGUGUUUAUUGAGGCCUGUUGUUGUUGUUUUCCUACCGGAGCUGUCUCCAUCUUCGGACACGGAGGAGCUCACUGUGUCCUCCUCGUCCGUGCUGCUGCCGUCCUGCUCCGGGUAGUCCACCUCCAUCUCCUCGUGGUUACUUUCUUUCUUCUCCCGAAUGUGAACCGGCAUGGCGGCGGACAGAAGAGCCGGUGUUGACGGGCUGGCGCCGCUGUUCGUUGAUGUUAGCCCACGGUGAAAAAGAGAAAUAUGGCCCAGACAGCUAACCGGUUAGCUAGCCCGCAUCUACACCAGCUGGAAGUGCAAACAUGGCCACCGCCGACCAAUGAGAGGAGGCUUUACUGAGUUUGUCCAAUCAGAAGCUGAUAAGGGUCACUGGAGGGUUUCAGGGAUUUGUAGUUUGUUAAACUUUCAGCAAAACCCGACAGCUACUGUAUGAGCAGAUCUUGAUUGGGGAGCGGAUCAAAUACAUUUUCUUCACCUUCAUUAGCGUUGUUAGAUGGGGUAUUUCUCAACACUAUUAAUUCCUCAGAGAAUAAUUUAUGGAUUUUGAUAAUAAAAUCAAACAUGUAACUUAUAUCUAUGAAUGUGUGCAAUUGGAUGCUGAUCCAAAUAAAAAUCCCGGUGGUAUGCAGUCCACUGCCAUUCUAGUUAUGUUCCAUGUUUUUUCCCCUCUUGGUUGUUUGCAAUAAUCUAAUAUUGACUGCCAUUGUUUUUGAGAAACUCUUAUUCCUGUGGGACUCAAACAUUUUCAUUGCGUGUUGUCAGUGUCAGUCUCAGUGAGGCUACUUGGAGGCAGACAGGAGAACCCUUACAGAGAUUCUACCCAGCACAGCUG